rnacentral:rRNA from 1 species
AUUGAACGCUGGCGGCAUGCCUUACACAUGCAAGUCGAACGGCAGCACGGGGCAACCUGGUGGCGAGUGGCGAACGGGUGAGUAAUGCAUCGGAACGUACCUUUCAGUGGGGGAUAACGUAGCGAAAGUUACGCUAAUACCGCAUAUUCUGUGAGCAGGAAAGCAGGGGAUCGCAAGACCUUGCCCUGAUUGAGCGGCCGAUAUCAGAUUAGCUAGUUGGUGAGGUAAAGGCUCACCAAGGCGACGAUCUGUAGCGGGUCUGAGAGGAUGAUCCGCCACACUGGAACGGAGACACGGUCCAGACUCCUACGGGAGGCAGCAGUGGGGAAUUUUGGACAAUGGGGGCAACUCUGAUCCAGCCAUGCCGCGUGAGUGAAGAAGGCCUUCGGGUUGUAAAGCUCUUUCGGCCGGGAAGAAAUCGUACGGGUUAAUACCCUGUGCGGAUGACGGUACCGGCAUAAGAAGCACCGGCUAACUACGUGCCAGCAGCCGCGGUAACAC